GAUGAACGCUGGCGGCGUGCCUAAUACAUGCAAGUCGAGCGAACGGACGAGAAGCUUGCUUCUCUGAUGUUAGCGGCGGACGGGUGAGUAACACGUGGAUAACCUACCUAUAAGACUGGGAUAACUUCGGGAAACCGGAGCUAAUACCGGAUGAUAUUUUGAACCGCAUGGUUCAAAAGUGAAAGACGGUUUUGCUGUCACUUAUAGAUGGAUCCGCGCUUCAUUAGCUAGUUGGUAAGGUAACGGCUUACCAAGGCAACGAUUCAUAGCCGACCUGAGAGGGUGAUCGGCCACACUGGAAGUGAGACACGGUCCAGAGUCCUACGGGAGGCAGCAGUAGGGAAUCUUCCGCCAUGGGCGAAAGCAUGACGGAGCAACGCCGCGUGAGUGAUGAAGGUCUUCGGAUCGUAAAACUCUGUUAUUAGGGAAGAACAUAUGUGUAAGUAACUGUGAACAUCUUGACGGUACCUAAUCAGAAAGCCACGGCUAACUACGUG
rnacentral:rRNA from 1 species